rnacentral:ncRNA from 1 species
AUGAUCAGGAAGCGUUGAACCGCCGUCUGUAUUUGGAUCACUUGGACGGCGGGGAGCAAGUAGUGAAACCGGCUUGUGGAAAU